rfam:Flavobacterium sp. CF136 PMI10_contig149.149, whole genome shotgun sequence.
CCCCAGCCCAGAUGGGAACGGCAUCCUUUUGUGGCGGUGUUCGCCACAAAAGAUACAGUGGACAGCUGGAAAGAGC